rnacentral:rRNA from 1 species
UACGUAGGCAGCGAGCGUUGUUCGGAGUUACUGGGCGUAAAGGGUGUGUAGGCGGUUGUUUAAGUUUGGUGUGAAAUCUCCCGGCUCAACUGGGAGGGUGCGCCGAAUACUGAAUGACUUGGAGUGCGGGAGAGGAGAGUGGAAUUCCUGGUGUAGCGGUGAAAUGCGUAGAUAUCUGGAGGAACACCGGUGGCGAAGGCGGCAUCCUGGACCAACACUGACGCUGAGGAGCGAAAGCCAGGGGAGCAAACGGG